UGGGGAAUUUUGGACGAAUUGGGCGAAAGCCUGAUCCAGCAAUGCCGCGUGUGUGAAGAAGGCCUUCGGGUUGUAAAGCACUUUUGUCCGGAAAGAAAUCCUUGGCUCUAAUACAGUCGGGGGAUGACGGUACCGGAAGAAUAAGCACCGGCUAACUACGUGCCAGCAGCCGCGGUAAUACGUAGGGUGCAAGCGUUAAUCGGAAUUACUGGGCGUAAAGCGUGCGCAGGCGGUUUGCUAAGACCGAUGUGAAAUCCCCGGGCUCAACCUGGGAACUGCAUUGGUGACUGGCAGGCUAGAGUAUGGCAGAGGGGGUAGAAUUCCACGUGUAGCAGUGAAAUGCGUAGAGAUGUGGAGGAAUACCGAUGGCGAAGGCAGCCCCUGGCAAGUACUGACGCUCAUGCACGAAAGCGUGGGGAGCAAACGGAUUAAUNCCCUGGUAGUCCACGCCCUAAANGAUGU
rnacentral:rRNA from 1 species